GCGUUGAUUGAGCUGUUACAGAGCGUGUUUACGAGCAGUUUGCUCUUCCAGUUGGAUUUAGGCUUGCUUACGAAUAUUUGAGAAGGAAAGGAACAGCAUCGUAGUGAGAGAAAUCUUGUACCUACCACCACUGGCAAAGAUGCGGGGAAAUGAGCCAAAACUCUGUUGCACAGUGGUUUCUAACGUCUUCACGCUACCUUAAAGUCUACGUUUAUCGGAGGAAAUCCGGCCAGGAAAGACUGCUGUGGAAAAUAUUGAUCCUCUUGAGAACUUGAGAAAAUUUUUGUGAGUCCAGUUUGUAAUAUCCGUUGGGAAGAAUGCGUAACUGAACGGAUGAGAAGGCAGUCGAAGUAAAACUUUCGGUUCAAGUCUCUGCCGCAAUUCAAGAAGUUUUGAACGCUCACAAAGAGCAUUUUUCCCCAGGAAAGGAUCCGCAAGAGGCUUUACACGAGAUUAACCUUUGGAGUGACUUGCAGAUGGAAUUCCUCUGCCUCACUAAGCAGCCAGGGUAAAGCCAAAUGUGGGUACGCCGAAUAAAACACCGUGAAAUGGGACUCGGCAAUCUGAAUAUUUCGUUUCAUUCACGGCUGAUGAUAUAUUGAUCGCAGUCCUGGCCACACGUACCACCCACGCGUAUAUAUUCCCAGGCUUUGCAUACAUCGCGUCCGGUUUCGCACGGUCCAGUUUCAUCAUCCGCCAUUUGCGAAUUGUAACGUGUGAUCAAACGAGAGAUGAGAAAAGAGUGCGUCUUUCGCGUCAGUGGUUUGGAUUAAGUGGGGAGAUACCUUUAGCCGCCUAAAAGAAAACGAUAAUUUUUUUAUUCCAAAAAAUGUUCGUAUAACAUUUCAAGAGUCUAAAUCCCGUGGCUUAGAACUAAAUUCGCAGUCCUUCUUGAUGAGGGGCGAUUAGUUCGUCAGCAGCGCAGAAGCUCAAUAUCUUCUGAAGAAGCUCGAAAGCCCGAACAGAGAAGCAAAUCCAGGAAAAUGAACUUUGCGAAGAAUCCGAGGGCGUGAUUGAAGAUUAAUCCAUUCAACGCCACACGACACCCCGUCGGAUGAGGUUCGCCGCAACCCGAACAGAAGACCGUGCCGUAUCUCCGCCUUUUUGAAAUAUAUCAAAAAAAAAAAAUACAAUAUAGUUGCGAAAAGUAACAAAAAAAAAAGUACGAAAAGGUUAAAAAUUUUGAACAAGUCUUUCCUUGUAAAAAAACCAUGAAAAUCAGUGAUUUUUUCCUUGCUUAAAGGUACUCCCCCCCCCAUUAAGCGAGCUGCAGAUUACUCAUCUAGAAAUAUCGAGUUAUGGAUUUUCAUUCUCGUUGCAAAUGACCAUUAGGCUUUGCCAAAUCGGUAUCACUAUUAUUACGUAGGCAUAAGACCAAACGUUUCGUUAAAAACUGUUCCACCCUAAACUUGUUAGCAAUUGCAAAUAAUCGAAUGGGUCAUAAAUAUACGAGCCUUCUUCUUAUAUCGGUGAAAAAGGAAUUGAUAUUGUAUGUAUGGGUAGUGGA
rnacentral:lncRNA from 1 species